rnacentral:ncRNA from 1 species
AACCUUUUCAUGACCUACGGGUCAAGGUACAAUCUCAAAUAGACAAAUCUAUGGGCCGUAUGCCUCCCAAUAGGCAUGCAAAAGGUUUCCUCGGGCCAAAUGGAUAUUGGCCCUCGACUGCGAAGGCAAGAAGGAGCUUGACUAUAUGACCCAGUACCUGUCGAGCUAGGACAAAAGUUGGCCUUAGUGAUUCCAUGGUGCCAAGUGGAAAGGUUGCUCAACGGAUAAAGGUUAC